rfam:Gossypium raimondii Chr02_contig_1463, whole genome shotgun sequence.
UGUUAAAAAUUUAAUUUAUUUUUACUGUUAAAAACUAGUGUGGCUAUUAAAAUAACCAGAUUACAUGUGGCGUGCCACAUGUACCUUAUGCUAACGUACAGGGACCAAUUUUUAAUUGUAAAAAUGGAUAGAAUUUUUAAUA